rnacentral:rRNA from 1 species
UACGGGGGGGCAAGCGUUGUUCGGAAUUACUGGGCGUAAAGGGCUCGUAGGUGGCCAACUAAGUCAUGCGUGAAAUCCCUCGGCUUAACCGGGGAACUGCGUCUGAUACUGGAUGGCUUGAGUUUGGGAGAGGGAUGCGGAAUUCCAGGUGUAGCGGUGAAAUGCGUAGAUAUCUGGAGGAACACCGGUGGCGAAGGCGGCAUCCUGGACCAACACUGACACUGAGGAGCGAAAGCCAGGGGAGCAAACGGG